rnacentral:lncRNA from 1 species
GAUCGAUCACGGAAUGAAGGAGGAGAUGCGCGUGGGCAGACGGGAUGGCUGGGCGUUGUGCGAUCUUUGGCCCUCCUGAUAUGGGAGCUGGGAGACACCAAGUUCAGUCAUAUAGAUAAAAAAAAACAAAUAGUGUGAUGUGAAAUUUGGUUUGUAAACGGACGGACUCAGUUCGUCACGGAUCAUUUGUUCUGACUGGAGGUCUAUUGCAAGUCUUUCAAGUCAUGGGUUACCCAGCACCUCAUAGUUAUGAUAUGG